AAAGCAUUCCAAAGUAAAAUAUAAGAAAUAUUUUGAUUGUUUUUCUGUUUCAGAUUAUCUGUACCACUAUUCAUUUCCUUUUUUGUAGAUAAUCAAGAACUGGCUAUAUUGUGUUUAAUAGGACUUUAAAACACCAAGAAAACUCCAUAGAGCACUGAAACAUUUUGAAGAUAAAAUUCAUAAUCUCCAGUACUUACACUUGAUAGCACAUACUACCUUGGAGAAAGAGAGUAGAACAGAAGAAGCUCUGACACUAAGAGAAAACAAGAGCUUAAUGAAAAACUGAGGAAAGGAUGCUCAAGAGAAGAUAGAGAGAAGUGAGCAAUCAACAAGCAAGAAGACUUACCAAUGGGUAGACACCUGUCAUAGGAGGAUCUUCAAGAAAGAAGGCCAGAAAGACUUUUCUGCUUCUGAGGUUUUCUCAGUUUUCUUUAACUUAAAACAGUUUCUCAAGGUGUCACUUAUUGAAAGGAAGGAAGAAAGAACAGGAGAAAGGAAUGAAGGAAGCAAGGAAG
rnacentral:lncRNA from 1 species